CUUACAAGCUGCUAACAACAAUGG
rnacentral:siRNA from 1 species